AAUUGUUUUUAAAGCAUUUUAUGGAGGCAGUGCCUUAUUGUCACAGAGAAGAAAAAUUAUAAGUUCUGUUAAUCCUGCAAAAGUUUGAAAGCACCAGAGAUCAGUAACUACUCUGCCUUCUAAAUUUUAUCACUUUCUUUUCAAGCUGUGCCUUCAUCAGAUGUCUGCCUCUAGGGAUGAAAGAUUACAACACCCAAUUUUAAAAAAAGAAUAGACUGAAUAAAGAUUGGCUUCAUUCUUUAAUUUCGAUAUGGACUCACUUACAAAUGGACCACCUGACUACUGUCAUCACAAGUUCCCCGGGGAAGAGAACCUAAUUAGAAGAGACAAGCUCUCUAGAGGAGAUUGUCUCUCUGUCCAGUGAGUGUUGGUCAUUUGUGUUAUGGAAAUAGUGCACAAUGAGGGUCAUGACAAUAGUCUACACCAAGGAAUGGUAAAUUUUUCUCUGUAAAGGGGCUGAUAUGGACCCGGUGGGAGGUAAUUGAAUCAUUGGGGCAUGUCUUUGCUGUGCUGUUCUCAUGAUAGUGAAUAAGGCUCACGAAACAUGAUGGUUUUAAAAAGAGGAGUUUCCUUGAACAAGCUCUCUUUGCCUGUUACCAUCCAUAUAAGAUGUGACUGGUUUCUCCUUGCCUUCUGCCAUGAUUGUGAGGCUUCUCCAGCUACAUGGAACUGUGAGUCCUCCAUUUAACCUCUUUCCUUUGUAAAUUGCCAAUUUGUAAAUUGUGCGAAUAAAUCUUUAUUUACAAAAAUAGGGAUGGGGCAGGAUUGGUUCCUCAUGCUGUCAUUUGCUGACCCCUAGUCUACAACUACACUAUGAGCAGAAAAGACUAUUUAACAAAGGGGUGGGGCAAGUUGGAGGGGGUAAUCAUCUCCAGUAUUCUCACCAAGCACUGAAUAUUGGAAGCAGAGGCCUUUCAUGUAUGGGGAAACCUAAAGCAUGACUGCAAGUGAUAAAGCAUUCACAUCAUGUUCAGAGAACAGUUCUCAUUCUAUCAACAGAAUUUCACCCUCAGGAACAUGCCUGCCUUCCCUCAGGAUAAGUAGGGAAGGGAGAGCUCAGAAAAAAGAGGACAGUUCAGCCAACUGAGUUGGAAUAGAGAGAUUCAUAACAUUGUAGGGAGGGCAGGUUUUCAGAAAUAUAUGCCUAAUGAUCUCAUAUCUAGUUAUAGCCCUGCUGGGAAUUGUACAUUGUAGGGAACACGGUAGAGCAAUGCACAAGGUGAAGUUGGAAACAAGGCAGUAGGCAAUUUUAAAGUCCCAUUUUGAGCUAGGAAGAAAAAGGGGAUAUAAAUAUUGCAUGAAGUAGUGUCUUAAAAUCCUAUUCUAUCCAUUUCAGCAAACUAGAUACUCAGUGUUUAAUAGCACCUGAAGCCAGCUAUAAUAAGGAUGAAGGAAAGAUAUGUGCACCAGUGGAGUAGCCACCUCAACAGCACCGAUAAUACCAAGAGCUAAAAGGUCGUGUUUGUUUAAUGCUUUCCAUAAGCAACUGGUCUGACCAAAAGAAUUCUGCAGGAAUGAUUAAGCUUUCUUUAGCGCUUAUUGUAGCCUAGAUAUGGUCAGCAAGACCGAGCUCUGCAAUCAGUAGAACGGGACAAUCACAGAUAGGUUUCAGUGACCUCUCUUGGCAGCAAUUUUCCUCUCUGCCCUCACUGGCUUCAAUAGAUUCCCUGGUUUGCAGUUAUUACCUUGGCAGGACUGUUCUGCCCCUCUCUGUCAUGUAAGAUAGCCUGGGAUAAAAAGGGAGAUGGCAACAACUGAAGCAGGUGGAUACUAGAGGGGUUAUUAAAAUACUGAGUACUUGAUAUUUUAAAAUAAAAAAUUAAAAGCAAAUGGUUUCCAAAUACCUGCCAACCUUGGAGAUAUUGGGGAUUUGUUUCGAGACUAAUGCAAUAAAGCAAAUAUCAAAAUAAAGCAAGUCACAUUAAUUUUUAGUUUUUCAGUGCAUAUAAUAGUUAUGUUUCUCUAUAUAGUAUAUAUAUAUAUAAUGAAUAUACAAUAGUCUUUUAAGUAUGCAACGGUAUUAUGUAUAAAAAACAAUGUCCAUACCUUAAUUAAAAACACUUUAUUGCUAAAAUAUGCUAACAAUCAUCUGAGCCUUCAGCAAGGCAUAAUCUUUUUGCUAGCAAAUGGUCUUGCUCGAUGUUGACAGCUGCUGACUGAUCAGGGUGGUGGUUGCUGAAGGCUGGGGUGAUUGUGACAAUUUCUUAAGAUAAAACAACAAUGAAAUUUGCUACAUUGACUGACUCUUCCUAUCAUGAAAGAUUUCUCUGCAGCAUACAGGGCUAUUUGACAGCGUUUUAUGCACAGCAGAACUUUUGCAACUGGAUUCAAUCUUCUCAAAACGUGUUGCUGCUUUAUCAAGUGAGUUUAUGAACUAUUAUAAAUCCUUUGCUGUCAUUUCAACAAUAUUCACAGCAUCCUUACUAGGAAUAGAUUUAUUCUGAAGAAACCACUUUCUUUUCUCAUCCAUAAGAAACAACUCCCCCCAUUCAUUCAAGUUUGAUCAUGACAUUACAACAACCCAGUCACAUCUUUGGGCUCCACUUCUAAUUCUAAUUCUCUUGCUAUUUUCAUCACAUUGGCACUUACUUUCUUCUCUGAAGUCUUGAACCCCCUAACGUCAUCCAUCAGGGUUGGAAUCAACUUCUUCCAAACUCCAAUUAAUAUUGAUAUUUUGACCUCCUCUCAUGAAUCAAAAAUAUCCUAAUAGCAUCUAGAAUGGUGAAUCCUUUCCAGAUGGUUUUUAAUUUACUUUGCUUAAAUCCAUCAGAGGAAUUACUAUCUAUGGCUGCUAUAGUGUUAACAAAGGUAUUUCUUGAAUAAUAAGACUUGAAAGACAAAAUUACUCCUUAAUCCAUGGGCUACAGAGUGAAUGUGCUGUUAGCAGGCAUGAAAACAAGAGUAAUCUUCUGUGCAUCACAAUCAGAGCUUUUGAGUGACUAGGUGCAUUGUCAAUGAGCAGUAAUAUUUUGAAAAGAAUCUUUUUUCUGAGUAGUGUAUCUCAACUGGGGACUUAAAAUAUUCAGUACACCACACUAUGAAGAGAUGUGCUCUCGCCAAGAUUUGUUCCAUUUAUAGAGCAAAGGUGGAGUAGAUUUAGCAUAAUUCUUCAAAGCUCUAGGAUUUUAGGAAUGGUAAAUGAACACUGGCUUUUAAAGUCACUAGUUGUGUUAGCCCCUCACAAGAAAGUCAGCCUGUCCCUUUGAUGCUUUGAAGCUGGUCAUUACUUUCUCCUCUCUAAGCUAUGAAAGUCCUACAUGGCAUCUUCUUGCAAUAGAAGGCUGCUCCAAACUUUUCUUCUGCAACUUCCUCACCUCUCUCAGUCUUCGUGGAACUGAGGUGAGUUAAGGCCUUGCUCUGCACUAGGCUUUGGCUUAAUGAAAUGUUGUGGCUGGUUUGAUGUUCUGUCCAGACCACUAAAAACAUUUUUCAUAUCAGCAAUAAGCCUGUUUCACUUCCUUAUUUAUGUGUUCACUGGAGUAACACUUUUAACUUCCUUCAAGAACUCUUCCUUUGCAUUCACAAUUUUGCUAACUAAUUGGUGCAAUAGGCCUAGCUUUUAGCCUAUCUCAGCUUUGUUUUUUUUUUUUUUUUUUUUUUCUUUUCUUCCAGCCUGUGUUGCCCAGGCUGGAGUGCUGUGCAGCCUCAAAUUUCUGGGCUCAAGCAAUCCCCCCACCUCACUCUCCAGAGUAGCUGGGACUAUAGGCACACACCACCACACCCAGCUAAAUUUUUUAUUUUUUAACAAAGACUGAGUCUCACUACUUUGCUCAGGCUGGUCUCAAACUCCUGGUCUCAAGCA
rnacentral:lncRNA from 10 species